AGUGAACGCUGGCGGUAGGCCUAACACAUGCAAGUCGAACGGCAGCACAGUAAGAGCUUGCUCUUACGGGUGGCGAGUGGCGGACGGGUGAGGAAUACAUCGGAAUCUACUUUUUCGUGGGGGAUAACGUAGGGAAACUUACGCUAAUACCGCAUACGACCUACGGGUGAAAGCAGGGGAUCUUCGGACCUUGCGCGAUUGAAUGAGCCGAUGUCGGAUUAGCUAGUUGGCGGGGUAAAGGCCCACCAAGGCGACGAUCCGUAGCUGGUCUGAGAGGAUGAUCAGCCGCACUGGAACUUGGACACGGUCCAGGCUCCUACGGGAGGCAGCAGUGGGGAAUAUUGGACAAUGGGCGCAAGCCUGAUCCAGCCAUACCGCGUGGGUGAAGAAGGCCUUCGGGUUGUAAAGCCCUUUUGUUGGGAAAGAAAAGCAGCAGGUUAAUACCCCGCUGUUCUGACGGUAGCCAAAGAAUAAGCACCGGCUAACUUCGUG
rnacentral:rRNA from 1 species